UCAUGUAAAUCAAAAGGGGAAAUUCAGCUCAGCUGCCAUAGUGAAGAAGCUUUUAUUGGGUUCCAAACUGUCAAACCAGAUGAAUCUUCUAGUGGAACUGAUGGUUGUGCUGGGGACCUGGGUGUUUGAUCAGGGCCCUCUAGCUGAGCCUGAUAGCUUUUGGCUCACUGACAUCCAUAGCUUCCCUUUCCUUCUCCCCUGUCUAGAAAGCAUUUAACAAAAGACUGUCCAACUCCUGGGGCUUUGGCUCAGUGAAGCUGGCCUCUGAGCUAGCAGCUGAGACAGAAGGAAGGGGCAGGCUCUGAGCUUAACUGGCUUGCAGUUUAAACUCCUCAACCAAGGGACUUCAUGGACAGUGAGUAGGUGCAGGGAUGAGAUUCCAGGGAUAAAAGAAUCAUUUUCACUUAUGCUAAUUCCUGGGAACAGUCUUCUACAGCUGGGCAUCCAACAAGCUCCAUUCACUGAGAGAACAAGGAAAUGGUAUUCCAGAAGAUUCUGUGUUGGAAAAAAUGCUCCAGGCAGAAUAUUUUUAUAUCAAUCUCCCUCAGGUGUUCCAGAUUUCAGAACUCUAAUUAGGAUGAGGCUACUGGGCCUUUUCCCUCAAGGAUCCCCAGGAACAAUCUGUACCUGUGAUAAUGUAUUCAAUGAAAUGUCAUCAAGCAAGCUGAAAUGA
rnacentral:lncRNA from 1 species